GACGAACGCUGGCGGCGUGCUUAACACAUGCAAGUCGAACGGAAAGGCCCUGCUUUUGUGGGGUGCUCGAGUGGCGAACGGGUGAGUAACACGUGAGUAACCUGCCCUUGACUUUGGGAUAACUUCAGGAAACUGGGGCUAAUACCGGAUAGGAGCUCCUGCUGCAUGGUGGGGGUUGGUAAGUUUCGGCGGUUGGGGAUGGACUCGCGGCUUAUCAGCUUGUUGGUGGGGUAGUGGCUUACCAAGGCUUUGACGGGUAGCCGGCCUGAGAGGGUGACCGGCCACAUGGGGCCUGAGAUACGGCCCAGACUCCUACGGGAGGCAGCAGUGGGGAAUAUUGCACAAUGGGCGGAAGCCUGAUGCAGCAACGCCGCGUGCGGGAUGACGGCCUUCGGGGGGUAAACCGCUGUCGCCUGUGACGAAGCGUGAGUGACGGUAAUGGGUAAAGAAGCACCGGCUAACUACGUG
rnacentral:rRNA from 1 species